UGGCUCAGAACGAACGCUGGCGGCGCGUUUAAGCAUGCAAGUCGAGCGGCAGGGGGGCCUCGGUCCCCCGAGAGCGGGCGGACGGGUGAGUAACACGUGGACAACCUGCCCCCCGGUUCGGGAUAGCCCAGGGAAACCUGGAUCAAUACCGGAUGCGAGGGCGGCCGCACAAGCGGCCGUCGGGAAAGGCGCUUCGGCGCCGCCGGGGGAUGGGUCCGCGUCCCAUUAGCUAGACGGUGGGGUAACGGCCCACCGUGGCGAUGAUGGGUAGCCGGCCUGAGAGGGUGGACGGCCACAUUGGAACUGAGACACGGUCCAGACUCCUACGGGAGGCAGCAGCUAAGAAUCUUCCGCAAUGGGCGAAAGCCUGACGGAGCGACGCCGCGUGAACGAAGAAGGCCGUGAGGUUGUAAAGUUCUUUUCGGGAGGGGGAACGAGGGCUGCCAGGCAAUGGGCGGCCGAUGACGUGAAUCCCGGAAUAAGCCCCGGCUAACUACGUGCCAGCAGCAGC
rnacentral:rRNA from 1 species